UAUGGCGAGAAGGGCACACCCGUUCCCAUCCCGAACACGGUAGUUAAGCUUCUCUGCGCCAAUGGUAGUUGGGGGCUUCCCCCUGCGAGAGUAGGUCGCUGCCGGGC
rnacentral:rRNA from 1 species